GAUUGAACGCUGGCGGAAUGCUUUACACAUGCAAGUCGAGCGGCAGCGCGGGGCAACCUGGCGGCGAGCGGCGAACGGGUGAGUAAUACAUCGGAACGUGCCCAGACGUGGGGGAUAACUACUCGAAAGAGUGGCUAAUACCGCAUACGAUCUACGGAUGAAAGCGGGGGAUCGCAAGACCUCGCGCGUCUGGAGCGGCUGAUGGCAGAUUAGGUAGUUGGUGGGAUAAAAGCCUACCAAGCCAACGAUCUGUAGCUGGUCUGAGAGGAUGAUCAGCCACACUGGGACUGAGACACGGCCCAGACUCCUACGGGAGGCAGCAGUGGGGAAUUUUGGACAAUGGGGGAAACCCUGACCCAGCAACGCCGCGUGAGGGAAGAAGGUUUUCGGAUUGUAAACCUCUGUUCUUGGGGAAGAGCAGAAGACGGUACCCAAGGAGGAAGCCCCGGCUAACUACGUGCCAGCAGCCGCGGUAAUACGUAGGGGGCGAGCGUUGUCCGGAAUGAUUGGGCGUAAAGGGCGCGUAGGCGGCUGUGUAAGUCAGUAGUGGAAGUCCAGCUUUUAAGGUUGGAAGUGCUAUUGAAACUGUGCAGCUUGAGUGCAGGAGAGGUUAUCGGAAUUCCCGGUGUAGCGGUGAAAUGCGUAGAGAUCGGGAGGAACACCAGUGGCGAAGGCGGGUAACUGGACUGCAACUGACGCUGAGGCGCGAAAGUGUGGGGAGCAAACAGGAUUAGAUACCCUGGUAGUCCACACUGUAAACGAUGAAUGCUAGGUGUAGGGGGUAUCGACCCCUUCUGUGCCGGAGUAAACACAAUAAGCAUUCCGCCUGGGGAGUACGGUCGCAAGAUUAAAACUCAAAGGAAUUGACGGGGGCCCGCACAAGCAGCGGAGCAUGUGGUUUAAUUCGAAGCAACGCGAAGAACCUUACCAGGUCUUGACAUCCAGGUAAAGCUGCAGAGAUGCAGUGUGUGCUUGCACAAUCUGAGACAGGUGGUGCAUGGUUGUCGUCAGCUCGUGUCGUGAGAUGUUGGGUUAAGUCCCGCAACGAGCGCAACCCUUGCCGGCAGUUACUAACAGGUGAAGCUGAGGACUCUGCUGGGACCGCCGGGGACAACUCGGAGGAAGGUGGGGACGACGUCAAAUCAUCAUGCCCCUUAUGACCUGGGCUACACACGUGCUACAAUGGCCGAGACAGAGAGCAGCGAGGGCGCAAGCCGGAGCGAAUCUCAAAAAAGCGGUCACAGUUCGGAUUGUGGGCUGCAACCCGCCCACAUGAAGCAGGAGUUGCUAGUAAUCGCGAAUCAGCAUGUCGCGGUGAAUACGUUCCCGGGCCU
rnacentral:rRNA from 1 species